rnacentral:rRNA from 1 species
GAAUUUUGGGCAAUGGGCGAAAGCCUGACCCAGCAACGCCGCGUGAAGGAUGAAAUCCCUCGGGAUGUAAACUUCGCAAGAACGGGAAGAAUAAGUUGGUGCUAAUACCACAAGCGAUGACGGUACUGUUUGUAAGCUCCGGCUAACUCCGGGCCAGCAGCCGCGGUAAUACGGGGGGAGCAAGCGUUGUUCGGAUUUACGGGGCGUAAAGGGCGCGUAGGCGGCCUCCGCAAGUCAGUUGUGAAAUCUCCGGGCUUAACUCGGAAAGGUCAACUGAUACUGCGGGGCUAGAGUGCGGAAGGGGCAACUGGAAUUCUUGGUGUAGCGGUGAAAUGCGUAGAUAUCAAGAGGAACACCUGCGGCGAAGGCGGGUUGCUGGGCCGACCCUGACGCUGAGGCGCGAAAGCCAGGGGAGCAAACGGG